AGUAACUGGUGAAUUGUCAUGACAAAGGACUUCUCUCCAUAUUUGUCUUAUUACAUCUCGGUGCUGCAUUUGAAACUAUUGACCAUACCACGCUGUUACAGAAACUGGAACAUUUAGUUGGUAGUAAAGGAAUCACACUAAGCUGGUUUAAGUCCAAUUUCUCUGUUCAAUGUAAAUUUGUUAAUAUUAAUGAUAAAUCCAAGUACGCUAAAGUUACCUGUGGCGUUCUGCAAGGCUCAUUGCUUGGACCAGUUCUAUUCUCCUUAUCUAUGCUUCCUCUAGGCAAUAUUAUUGGGAAACACUAAAUUAACUUUCACUGUUAUGCGGUUGACAC